GAUCCUGGCUCAGGGUGAACGCUAGCGACAGGCCUAACACAUGCAAGUCGAGGGGCAGCGGAGAGGUAGCAAUCCCUUUGCCGGCGACCGGCGCACGGGUGAGUAACACGUAUGCAAUCCACCUGUAACAGGGGGAUAACCCGGAGAAAUCCGGACUAAUACCCCAUAAUAUGGGCGCUCCGCAUGGAGAGCCCAUUAAAGAGAGCAAUUUUGGUUACAGACGAGCAUGCGCUCCAUUAG
rnacentral:rRNA from 1 species